rnacentral:lncRNA from 1 species
GGCAGGACUGAGGGCUCUAGUACAGCUGUCUUCACAAAGACCAAGUUGGUGGAAGCCAGGAUAUGCUUGAACAUAUCCAGGAUAUACAGGAUAUCCAGGAUACUCAUGGAGGCUGUCUUACUCUGCUUGGCUGCUCUCACAGGACACCACAUAUUGAGUAAAUUAUGAAGAACAGAGGUUUAUUUUCUCAGUUAUUAAAGUUGGGAGGUCCAUGGUCGAGUCACAGGCAUCUAGGUAAGGCCCUCCUGCUAUUUCUUCAUGUGGCUGAAGGUUAAGGGCAAGAGAGGCAGGAGGGGCCAACCCAUCCCCAAAUAACACAAUGGAUCUAUUUAUGAGAGUGGAACCCUCGUGACUCACCCACCUCCCAUUAGGCUCCAGCUCCCAACAGCAUCACAUUGAAAAUCAAAUUUCCAACACGUGUACCUUGGGGCACACAUUCAAACCAUAGCAAAGAUCCUGAGGAGAGUUUGGGAAAGUUCCAUUACAACAAAAACUAAGCAAAUGAUGGAACAACACUUUUACUAACUUCAGGGAAAUUAAAAGUCAGUUCAAUGAAACUGAGUAAUGAAAGCUACAAGUGUAGUGGUGAAUAAUAUUAAGUCAGAAUCAUAUAAACAACAUUGGUCUAACCAAAAUUAUAAAAUGACUAUUGAGAGGAUAGGGGCUUGAGAAGGGAAGCUGUUCACUUAAAGUGCAACAUGAAAUUAAAAAACUAAGGAGGAGCCCUGUUAGCAUUCUAUUUAGGGGCACAGAGGUAACAAAAUCAUCAGGCAAAAUAAAUAAAACAGGCUGCCUCUGGGGAUGAGGAUAUGGGGCUGCAUGAAAGAUUGGGGCCAUUUGUCUUUAUAUCAAGCCUUAUAGAAGCAUUUGACCUUUCAAAUGCUGUCCAUGGCUCCACUAGAAUUUUUGUUUUGUUUUGUUUAAAAAGACAACAUGAGAGAGAGGACUCAGAAGUCCCUCUAUAUGUUGUAUCAGAAAAAUGAGGUAGUAAUUGGAGGGAGACAUAGGAUCAGGUGGUGGAUUUUUUUGUUUGUCCUAUUUAUUUGUUUACAUGACUAUAGCCAGGUCAUGUUGGUUUUAAUGGGAGAUACUACAGUAUGAUUAAUGCAGUAGUGAAUGAGCCACAGAAAGUGGGAGGUGAUGAUGCAGGGGAUGAGGGGCCAAGCUUGUUCCCAAGUGCAGAGGUGGCCUCAGACAGCAACAUGAUCAUCCAUUAUCACUGGUGGGAAAAUGGAGGAGACCCUUUCAAGUAUGAGGACUGUGAUGGGAUUAAGAGUCCUACUUUUAUUUGAGUCCUACUUUUUUUCCAAGUAAAAAGAGAAACAAGUUCAUCCUCUAGGAGUGAGGAGCUGGGAAUUAGAACUGGGAUGUGAGAAGGGAGGAGAAAGUGAGAAACAGCCCCCUCAGGGGGCCAGAGAGUCAACUGACCUGGGAAAUGGCAUUUGGAGAGGGCAGCUCAGGGGCCACUGAAGCCUGUGAUCAUCAUUUGAGGGAAAGAGAGGGAGAGAAGAGAAAUAUGAAGCAUUCAGGAUGCAGGUGGAGGAGGAUAACAGAGUGAAAGGAAAUGCAAGAAAAAUUUUCUGGUCUAGGGAUGUGGAUGAUUUUUAGCUUGUCAUUUAUCCUUGUCAGAAUCUUAUAAUUUUUCUAUAUCAAAUAUAUCUUGUAGUCACCCAUGACUAGUGACAGGAAUACUUUCUAAGAAAGUUUUCUUAUUCUAUAAAGCAAGUAUCACCCUGAUACCAAAAGAGAGAAAGACCCAUGAAGGGAACAAACUAUUUAUCAAUAUGCCUGAUGAAUACAGAAGGAAAAAUCUUCAAUAAAAUAUUAGCAAUCUGUAUUCAAACCAUUAUCAAGUGGGUUCUAUUCAGAGAUACAAAGUUGGUUCAUAUAUCAAAAUCAAUAAAUGCAAUAUAUCACAUAAAUAGAAUUAAAGACAAAGAUCACAUGAUCAUCUCAGUAAACUAAAAAAAAACCUCAAUAAAAUUCAGUUCCCAUUCAUGUUAAAAAACACUGAAGAAACUCAUAAUUGAAGGAACUUGUGUCAACAUUGUAAAUGCUAUAUAUGUCAAACCCAAAGCUAAUGUCAUACUAAGUGGGGAAAAACUGAAAAUAUUUAUUUAAAAUCCUGAAUAAGACAUCAAUGUUCAUUCUCUUCACUCCUACUUAAUACAGUACUUGAAACUGUAACCAAAGCCAUGAUACAAAAGAUGGAAAUUAAAGAGAUGAAAGUAGAAAAAGAGUCAAUUUUUUUUCUCUAUUUGCUGAUGACAUUAUUCUAUACUUAUAGACCCCAAGGGGGAAAAAACACCACACUUUUAGAUCUGAUGAGUUUAGUAAAGGAGCAAGACAGAAGACCAACAUACAAAAUUUAAUAGCUUACUUAUACACAAAUAAUGAUUCUUCUGAUAAAGAAAUUAGGAAAAGAAUUCCAUUCACAAUAUCCUCCCAAAAUUAAAAUCUGGGAGUGCAUUAAAUCUAGGAGGUGAGAGAUAUGUACAGUGAAAUUUACAAAACUGAAGAAAGAAAUUGGAGACGGCACUAUGUUCUUGGAUAGGCAGAACUGAUAUUGUCAAAUAUUACCAAAGCAAUCUACAGAUUCAAUGUGGUCUUCAUCAAAAUAUCAAUGUCAUGCACAAAGAAUUAGGAAAAAUAGUACUAAAUUUCACAUGGAAGAAUAGAACACCCAGAAUAGAAAAAGCAAUUCUCAGUAAUAUGACCUGUUGUAGGCAUCACAAUACUCAAUCUCAAAUUAUAUCACAGAACUAUAGUAAUAAAACAGCGUGUGUUAACAUAAAAACAUACAUGAAGGGCUGGGGAUGUGGGUCAAGCGGUAGCGCGCUCGCCUGGCAUGCGUGCGGCCCGGGUUUGAUCCUCAGCACCACAUACAAACAAAAAUGUUGUGUCCGCCGAAAACUGGAAAAUAAAUAUUCAAAAAUCCUCUCUCUCAAUCUCUCUCUCUCUCUCUCUCUCUCUCUCAAAAAAAAAAAAAAUUCAUGAAGACCAAUGGUACAGAAAACCUACAGAGAUACAAUCAUCUGAUCCUUCAUAAAGGUGCCAAAAGCACAAGUUAGAGAAAACAGCUUUUUAAGUGAAUAGUACUGGGAAAACUGGAUAUGCAAAAGAAUGAAACUAGAUGACUAACUCUCAUCCUGCACAAAACUCAACUUUGUCCUUUGGGUAUAUACUGAGGAGUGGGAUAACUGGAUCAAAUGGUGGUUCCAUUCCAAGUUUUCUGAGGAAUCUCCAUGCUGCUUUCCACAGUGGUUGAAUGAAUUUGCAGUUGUACCAGCAAUGUAUGAGUGUAGCUUUCCCCACAUAUCUGCACCAACAUUUAUUGCUACUUGUAUUCUUGAUGAUUGCCAUUCUGAGUGGAAUGAGAGGAAAUCUCAGUAUAGUUUUAAAUUGAAUUUCUCUAAUUGCUAGUGAUGUUGAAUUUUUUAUAUAUUUGUUGACAGAUUAUAUUUCUUCUUCUGUGAAGUGUCUGUUCAUCUCCUUUUCAAGAAUCAAUAAAUGGGAUGAUAUCAAACUAAAAAGCUUCUUUAAAGCAAAGGAAAUAAUCAAGAACAUGAAGACAGAGCCUACAGAAUGGGAGAAAAUUUUUGCCACCUGCACCUCAGAGAAUUAAUCUCCAAAAAAUAUAAAGAACUCAAAAAACAACACCAAAACAAUAACAGUAAAAACAACAAUAAAAAUAAAACCAAAACAAAUAACCCAAUCAAUAAAUGGGCAAAGAAACUGAACAGAGACAUCUUUAACUUUUUACAGACUACCUAAGGUAACAUUGUACUAUAUCCAAUAAAAUACAGGAAACUUAAUAACCUCAUGUUUACAGUUAACCACCCCUCUGUAUGAUCACCAUGUAUACUACAUCAGCGUUCAUGAUAAACCUAACCAGACAGUAGAAUACAUAGUGGGAAAGCUACACUCAUACAUUGCUGGUACAACUGCAAAUUGAUUCGAACACUGUGGAAAGGAGUAUAAUACAUAGUGGUAUAAAGUCAUCAAUCAUUUAAAAAAUUAAGUAAAAAUACUUAAAAUAUAUGUCAUAUUCUGUGGUUAGUUAUCUUUUUUGUACAAAUUAGUUACCAUUUCCCAUCAUUACACUCUAGGCUUUUCUUCAUUCCAAAUUACUUACGGUAGAGAAUUACUUAGCAAGGAAUCCUAUCAAUUUUUAUUUAUCAGAUAAAUACUUGGUUUUGCUUUGUUUCUACCUUUUUGUCUAAGAGAUUUGUGUGAAAUAAAAUUCACUAAUUUUGGGUGUAAAUCUAAAUGAAUAUUGGUAAUUGUUUAGAAUCAUUUUUAAACACCACUGUGGUCAGGAUAUGCUUUAGCUAGUCUUACCCUAAACAGUGUUCUCAUCUGCCUUCCCAUUUUAUCCUCUCCUCUACCCCAGUUCUAGGUGACCACCAACCUCCUUUCUGACUGUAAUUUUAAAUAUUCUGGAAUUUUAUGGACAUUCAAACAUGUAGUAUGUAAACUUUGCUAAAACAUAGUUAUUUUUAAGCUUUGUUGUGCUAUUGUGUGCAUUAGUAUUUUAUUCAUUUUUAUUACUGAGUAUUACUAAAAUACUAGUUUAUCCACUGAAUCUACAGAAAAUUUGUUAAACAGGUAUGUUAUUCCCAGGGUAUUAUAAAUAAAGGCAACUAUGAUCAUUUGAGUGUAGUCUGUCUAUGUACGUAUGUUCUCCAGCCUUUUAGAUAAAUGCCUAAGACUUGGGCCAUAAGGUCAGUGUGUUCAAUGAUAUCAGAAUUUGUCAUAUUGUUUUACAAAUGGGUUGUAAUUUUUCACAUUUCUAGCAGUGAUGUAUGAGGUUUCCUGUUGCUCCACAUCCUGUUGACAUGUGGUAUUGUCACAGUGUUUUUGAUGUUAUCCAUUCUAGUUGAGGUGAGGUGGUAGGUAUUUCACUGUGGUUUUAAUUUGUAUGUCUUUGGUAACUAGCAAUGGUGAGCAUCUUUUCAAUACUUAUUUAGGGACUUUCAGGGCUUAGCCUGUAAAAUGUUCUUCACAUCUUUUGUCCAUGAAGUUAAGAGCUGUUUGUCUCAUUAUUAAAUUGUAAAUAUUUUUCAUAUAUUCUGAAUAUUGACUGUAUGACAAACAUAUUUCUUGUAAAACCUUUCUCCUUAAGACUUGGGUUUUAAUGUCCUUUAUCAUGGUUAUUUAAAGAUGUGUUUAAAGCAUGGUCAAAUCCAUUUCAUCACAUUUUGUUUUAUAUGCCUUUUGUUUUAUACUUCAGGUAGUUAAAUUUUUUUGUUAUUUCAAUUUUAAUAAAUCUGCCUCUAUGUUUGUAAAAAGAUGUUCAAUAGCUUUAUUAUAUUAGAUAUGUUGUGAUUUCACUCUUUAUAAUGAUGUGAGUAAGGACUGAGCUCCAUUUCAAGCACAUAUGGAUUUUCAGGUAUUCUAGUACCAUGUGUUGAAGCUCUAUUUUUUCUCCAUUGAAUUAUCC